rnacentral:rRNA from 1 species
AGCUCCAAUAGCGUAUAUUAAAGUUGUUGCGGUUAAAAAGCUCGUAGUUGGAUUUCUGCUGAAAACGACUGGUCCGCUCUCUGAGCGUGUAUGAAGCUUGGUUUCGGCAUAUUCGUAGGAAGUGUAGCUGCGCUUCGUUGCACGGCGCACCACCCGCGUACUUUACUUUGAGGAAAUUAGAGUGUUCACGGCAGGCGAUCGUUUUGGAUACAUUAGCAUGGAAUAAUAUGAUAGAAUUUUGGUUUUAUUUUUUGGUUACUAGAACUAAGGUAAUUUUCAAUAGGGAUAGUCGGGGGCAUUUGUAUUAACGCGUCAGAGGUGGAAUUCUUAGAUUGCGUUACGACAAACGA